GACGAACGCUGGCGGCGUGCUUAACACAUGCAAGUCGAACGGAAAGGCCCUGCUUUUGUGGGGUGCUCGAGUGGCGAACGGGUGAGUAACACGUGAGUAACCUGCCCUUGACUUUGGGAUAACUUCAGGAAACUGGGGCUAAUACAGGAUAGGAGCUCCUGCUGCAUGGUGGGGGUUGGAAAGUUUCGGCGGUUGGGGAUGGACUCGCGGCUUAUCAGCUUGUUGGUGGGGUAGUGGCUUACCAAGGCUUUGACGGGUAGCCGGCCUGAGAGGGUGACCGGCCACAUUGGGACUGAGAUACGGCCCAGACUCCUACGGGAGGCAGCAGUGGAGAAUAUUGCACAAUGGGCGGAAGCCUGAUGCAGCAACGCCGCGUGCGGGAUGACGGCCUUCGGGUUGUAAACCGCUUUCGCCUGUGACGAAGCGUGAGUGACGGUAAUGGGUAAAGAAGCACCGGCUAACUACGUGCCAGCAGCCGCGGUGAUACGUAGGGUGCGAGCGUUGUCCGGAUUUAUUGGGCGUAAAGGGCUCGUAGGUGGUUGAUCGCGUCGGAAGUGUAAUCUUGGGGCUUAACCCUGAGCGUGCUUUCGAUACGGGUUGACUUGAGGAAGGUAGGGGAGAAUGGAAUUCCUGGUGGAGCGGUGGAAUGCGCAGAUAUCAGGAGGAACACCAGUGGCGAAGGCGGUUCUCUGGGCCUUUCCUGACGCUGAGGAGCGAAAGCGUGGGGAGCGAACAGGCUUAGAUACCCUGGUAGUCCACGCUGUAAACGGUGGGUACUAGGUGUGGGGUCCAUUCCACGGGUUCCGUGCCGUAGCUAACGCUUUAAGUACCCCGCCUGGGGAGUACGGCCGCAAGGCUAAAACUCAAAGGAAUUGACGGGGCCCCGCACAAGCGGCGGAGCAUGCGGAUUAAUUCGAUGCAACGCGUAGAACCUUACCUGGGUUUGACAUGGAUCGGGAGUGCUCAGAGAUGGGUGUGCCUCUUUUGGGGUCGGUUCACAGGUGGUGCAUGGCUGUCGUCAGCUCGUGUCGUGAGAUGUUGGGUUAAGUCCCGCAACGAGCGCAACCCUUGUUCACUGUUGCCAGCACGUUAUGGUGGGGACUCAGUGGAGACCGCCGGGGUCAACUCGGAGGAAGGUGGGGAUGACGUCAAGUCAUCAUGCCCCUUAUGUCCAGGGCUUCACGCAUGCUACAAUGGCUGGUACAGAGAGUGGCGAGCCUGUGAGGGUGAGCGAAUCUCGGAAAGCCGGUCUCAGUUCGGAUUGGGGUCUGCAACUCGACCUCAUGAAGUCGGAGUCGCUAGUAAUCGCAGAUCAGCAACGCUGCGGUGAAUACGUUCCCGGGGCU
rnacentral:rRNA from 1 species